CCUCAUUAAUUCGACUACAAUCCCAUAAAUGUGGCAUUUUUCAGCGUGGUUUUAAAUCACGGCUGCUUCCCUCCUUUCUCCCACAUGGAUCCGAGGCCCCGGAGGUGUGGAGGGAGCGAUGCUAAUCACGAUAAGUGAUUUGAGCCCACUCAUGCAUUUCCUCGAGGUAAGCCUCUUUGAUGUCCUUUGCUUCGGCUGCCUCCCUACUUAUGUUCUGCUACGCUUGCAUUCUCAUAAAGACACCACUUACUGGUCUAAUAAUGCUGCUUUCACUUUCAGGGAGAUCGGAGCCUCUUUUUUUUUUUUUCCCUGCAGUAAUUGGUAUUUUACGGAGAAUUGGGUUGUAUUAGGGAAAAGCCACAUUCGAGAUGUGGCUUUAAACUUGGGGUUUUAAACGGUCCCAGAGCAGUUGUGGGAACAGAAGAGGAUGGGGACAAAUGAGAGAUAUCAGCCACCAGGUGGCCACACUAAUGGUUACUCUGUCUCCUCUUCCUUAAAUCCCCUGUUGUUCCCUUCGUUUAUAAAGCUCAGUUUCAAAAAGACGCUGGAGGGCAUCCGUUUGAUGUGGUAAAGGUGGAUGGUUGGAGACUGCUGACUUUGCACAGUACUCUAAAGACAGAGUAUGUAUGAAGGAGGAAAGGAUGGCGAGGAGUGAAAGCACUACCUCUCUCUUUCUUGGAAACGGGCCAAGGCAAGGCCUUAAAUGAUGCAGCGGUGCCAGGUGCCAGAGUUUUUAGAGCUACCUGCUCUACAUUUACAGUGCCAGUGAAAAGUUUCCACACACCCUUCAAUGGGUAUGCAUAUCACACUAAUUCGGGGCUUUGAGUAAAAAGCAUUUGAACCAUUUUCUUUUGAAGGUGAAAUGAUAAAAAGACAGGUAUUUGAUUUUAAAAGCAAGAAUUGGUUGCACAAACUGAAUUUACAGUGCAUUUCCUGCAAUUCAUACAGGGUCAGAAUUACACCAACAUUAUUAAUAUUCCUUUUUUUUUUAGAACCGCAUAUACUUGCAGGGUUUUGGACGGCUGUUGCCUCACGUCAGGAAUCAUUGGGCGAGAAGCCAGGAACCCCAGGCACCUUGAGACCCAACUAAAGCAUCCAGUAAGAUCCCAGGCCAGGAGUUUAAAGCAGAACCUAUGGCCUUCAAGAGAACAGGGAAAUGUAUCCCGCAGACGAAAAUAUUUCCCUUUGGUGCCUUCAGUGCAUUUACUGUUUCUUUUAUCUCAGUGCUUU